UGAGGAAUAUUGGUCAAUGGGCGCAAGCCUGAACCAGCCAUCCCGCGUGCAGGAAGACGGCGCUAUGCGUUGUAAACUGCUUUUCCAGGGAGAGAAGCUUGCGCACGUGUUGCGCAAUUGACGGUACCCUGGGAAUAAGCAUCGGCUAACUCCGUGCCAGCAGCCGCGGUAAUACGGAGGAUGCGAGCGUUAUCCGGAUUCAUUGGGUUUAAAGGGUGCGUAGGCGGACUAUUAAGUCAGUGGUGAAAUCCUGCAGCUUAACUGCAGAACUGCCAUGGAUACUGAUAGCCUUGAGUUUGGUUAAGGUAGGCGGAAUGUGUAAUGUAGCGGUGAAAUGCUUAGAUAUUACACAGAACACCAAUUGCGUAGGCAGCUUACUGAGCCGACACUGACGCUGAGGCACGAAAGCGAGGGGAUCGAACAG
rnacentral:rRNA from 1 species